AUACCGGCUUUGUGUUUGAGCUGAGGAGGAGCCACUCAUAUGCUCGCACUCCUCAAUCAGCUUAAAAAGUUGUUCCUUAGCACCCCUUGGCUCUCAGCUGCCUGCUCUCAGCAGGGAGGCAUGCUGGUUGUGUGCUAAUUUGUACACCAGCAGCAAUUCUUCAGGAGAUUUGCCAGGCCAAAGCCCCUGAGUUCAGGCUUCAAGCCAAAUAUGCAAUGUAGUCAUGCCUUAAGAGACAGGAGUGAAACUAUAAGCCUGAAUCUCACUGGUAGAAUCUGAAGAGUGCCUCAAGCCCUCUGUUAGCAAUAAUUCAUUUUGGACAAAGCUGUUUCCUGGCUGGCCUGUGUGAGCCCUUACAAUGCGACAUUCCUGCUUCUGUUUUUCCCAUUGUUACACAUUAUAUUCCUGAAGCAUAUGUUGAAUGGGAUGCUGUGCAGCUGAAAGAUCACAUCUCAAAUGGCUCACUUGGCUCUCCCAUACUGAACUGACUGCCUGAGUUGCAGCUCUCUGACAAGGGGAAUGGUUGCUUUACUCUCAGAACACUACUUAGCUGCCCAAGAUGAACUGUCAAUUUAAUGUGGCUCUCGUAUGGAUUUGACUUGGUGUUUCAAGGAAACAAGGACACCGAUGGAAACCAAUGGACCCUAUGUCAAAAGAAAAACAAGAAACCCACAAAACAAAAAACACAGCAUCAACAACAACAGAAGCCUCCACAACUGGCUGCAGGAUGACAGCCAGCAAACUAAUAGAUCACAGACCAUGUCAUCAAGUCUAUGGAAGUGUAUCACUUGUGCAGUGAACUGGAAGCUCUGCAUUGAGGAACGAGUCAAGAACUAG
rnacentral:lncRNA from 1 species